AUGAUAUCCUGUCCAUUGUGAAGCAGGUUAUUGACUGGGGUUUCUCAGUAUUAUGUGGGUUUGGUGGAAAAUAUUAUGUCUGAAAAGUUACUUCAUCUUUUCAGUAACUAUGUACUCCAGUAGAAAGGAUGAAUAAAUAAUGGAAGGAUAAGAGGGAGGAAGAAAGGAAAGACAGGAAGAAAAGAAGGGAGGAAAGGAGAAAGAAGUGAAGGAUGGAAAGAAAGGGAAGAUGGAAUAAAAAAAAGGAAGGAGGAAGAGAGAAGAAAGAAGAAAGGAAGAAACUGCCACAGGAACUCGAGCCUUCAGCAGCUACCAUCUUGAUCAGUCUGCGGCCAUCUACACUGAAGCUAAUUCCUCCACCAGCAAAAAGCCUAUGACUCCCUGAAGUCUCAGGUGACCAUUAGCAUUUUUAACAGUAAAGUAUUUUUAAAUUUAUGUACAUUUCUUAGACAUAAUGUUCUUGCAAACUUAAUAGAAUAUACUGUAGUGUAAACAUAACUUUUGUAUGCACUGGGAAACUCCAAAAUUUGGAUGACUCACUUUAUAGUGAGAUUCACUUUAUUUUGGUGGCCUAACACCAACCUGCAGAAUCUCUGAGGUAUGAGUAUGGCUGUACUUAUCAUCUCAGCCUG
rnacentral:lncRNA from 1 species